rnacentral:rRNA from 1 species
UGGGGAAUAUUGCACAAUGGGGGAAACCCUGAUGCAGCGACGCCGCGUGAACGAAGAAGGUAUUCGUAUCGUAAAGUUCUGUCCUAUGGGAAGAUAAUGACAGUACCAUAGAAGAAAGCUCCGGCUAAAUACGUGCCAGCAGCCGCGGUACUACGUAUGGAGCGAGCGUUUACCGGAAUUAUUGGGCGUAAAGGGUAGGCAGGAGGUUUAAUAAGUCGAAUGUUAAAGAUCGGGGCUCAACCCCGUAAAGCAUUGGAAACUGAUAAACUUGAGUAGUGGAGAGGAAAGUGGAAUUCCUAGUGUAGUGGUGAAAUACGUAGAUAUUAGGAGGAAUACCAGUAGCGAAGGAGACUUUCUGGACACAAACUGACGCUGAGGUACGAAAGCGUGGGGGGCAAACAGG